GCGGGCGGGCUGGCCAGCGCCGGGAAGCCUGUCAUAUUCUGAAGCGGCCCGGCCUGAGCCGUUGCCAAAUCCGCUAAUCUCAGCGCUGGCGGGUUCCUCUUGCUCAAAGGGGGCUCCAUCAGAACUACACAAUCAGACCCAUAGAUCCUCUCUGGGGGUACUUUUUCCCUCUGCCCGCCUUCAAAAACAUGUAUAUAUUAGGCGCUCUUUAACUUCUUUGUCCUGGUCUCCUAACUCUGCUUAUUCCUGUUCUCACUCUGUCCUCCAGCGAAUGGCAGAGUGAACACCACAUUUGAGCUGCACAGUGGGACCGAGAUUUUGGAAAUGGCACGGGUGGGAUUGGAGGGAGCCGCGUGAUUGGCAGCAGCCGCGGCUGCCCGAUUGGCUCCCUUUCAGGCCCUCUGCCCAGCGGGGAUCCGCCCCCGUGCUCGCGGCCGCAUUCGCUUUCGCUUCGCGCCCCCUCCUCGCCAGGAGUCCUGCGUUCCCUCCUCCCCGGGGAUGCCCAAGUUGCACUUGCAGAAAGUUUGCACCGGACCUGCGCGCGCAGCGCCCCGCGUUCCCGUGACGUGCCUUGCGGAGAGCGUGCGCCGGCACGCGGCCGAAAGGCGCCGUGUGGCCAAGGGCUGGGGACCCCCCGGGGGGCAAAAGGUGUGCUCUGGGGACGACGGCGAACAGAUGUACGCCCGUCAUGAUACUUGUAGAGAUGAUGCUAGAAACCUAUUUGGAAAGGACACCCAAUCUGCCAAGGCUCACAUAGGGCGCACAGACUGGAGACGGAAUGAGGAAGGAUAUUAAAGUCCUGUUGGUUGCAAAACAAUUUGAGUGAUGUGGCCCAGCAAAACACCAGGGAUACAAUAAAACAUGUAACCAACUUAAUUCGUUUGCAGUCCAAGUAAAAAUAGGCUGCGUAAAGCCGUCAUCUGGGAGACGGUCCUGGGAAGUGCAGGCGGCUAUGGAAGUUGUUAUGCCAGCUCUUCUGUGGAUUGAGCCCCAUAUUUCCGCGGUGAUGCUGAUCGUCAGGGCCGAUCCUCAAAACUUUUGCAGCGAGGUGGUUGUGUGGGGGCAGCAACGUGGCAAUCCGUGGAAAUGCCCUUUCUGGGGUCAACAGGUGUUCUUGGGUGAGCCUCGAUUUCCAGACUUCACUUUUGCACCCCGAACCCCAAAUUCCCAGCCUCAAACAAAGGUGCGAGGAGGCUGGGGAGGUACAGUAAACGCGGAGCUGGCCCGAACCCGGCGGCUACACGGCGCUCAG
rnacentral:lncRNA from 1 species